CAUAGUUGUGGUUGUACAACUACUAAAACUUCCAAAACUGUAAUAUUGUGCUAUUUAUUAAAUCACUUUUAGUAGCUAGCUGUGGAAAUAGUUAAUCAAAUGCAGGUGAACAUUUGUAGAGUUAGAUGAGAGAUAAUGAUGUCUAUGGCCUCACAGAUAAUGCACUGUAAUACUUUUUUGUGCCAAUUUGAGGUUUAGUAGUGAGUAAUGAUGGAGUAGGGUGCUUUUGAUAGAUCUGGCAUUUGUACUACAAAACCCUCCACUCUGCAAAGCUAAGCAGGUAUGUCUGUACGGUUGUGAACCUUUGUCUAUUAACAUAGAUCUUUGAGUGCUUUUAUUUCAUGGACAUCUGUGUAUAUGUCUCUUUUCAGUUCUCAAAUCAGUUUGGGCAUGGCCAGCUUUUUACUUGACACAAUCCAUGUGAAAGAUUUGCACUUUCAUCAGUUUGCAUAAUUUUGUGACCUGAAAAGGUUGUUUAGUUUCUAGAUGGUGCUGUUCAGUGGAAUGUGCAUAUAUCAGCUUGAUCUACAUGUGUAUUUGGCAUUCUUAAAACCUCUUUAAACAACAACAAUCAAGUUUUAAUUCCACUAGGUCUGAUUUCUUGAAGAAUAUCAUGUGAAUAUUUGUUCUUAUAAUGUUACAUGGUUUUAUAUUAUAUGGUAUGACAUUAGCUUAACUGUUAGUGGUUUAAUUUGGCCAUUGUAUGUUAUUAUAUUAUAUUAUUUCAUAUCACCCAUUAUUGGUUGUCUCUUUGAAUGAUCUAUUCUACAUGUGAUUUAUGUUUAGAUUAGUGAUGUUUUGCUUUGACAUUAACUUCAAUUCAUAAUCUGAAAAUUGUAAGCACUUAAUUUCAUAUUUUACUUCGGUUGGAUAGUAAUGCGCUCUCAUUACUUUCUCUUGCAGUAUGGGUCUUCUUUCAAGCAGAUCAAGUUUGGAGGAUAAGUUCAAACUAAGAAAUUAUUCUCUGUGUUGUUAUGAAAACUAAAGUUGUAAUAACUUGACUCUGAAAACAAGAAUUUAAAAAAAAUAAUACUUUAUAUUUAUAAAUUUUUAUGUAGAGUGGGUAAGUUGUUGCCAAAAUGUGUACACAAUAAUGGAUAAAACUAAUGAACAUAUUUGAUUAUUGCUUCCUAAUUGUUGCUUGGUAUUAGUUGCAGGAUUGAUGUUUGGCUUGGCAUAAGUUAGACAGAAAUUGCAGCAUUGGCUUGGUCAGAUGGUGCAUCAUUGCCUCGGUCAGGACUUGGCACAGAUUGUGCAGAUUGGCUUUGUGUUCUCUUUGUUAUGGCUCUUGUGACUUACAUCUUGAUGCCUUAGUUUGGUUUCAUCUGUUUUUAGUGUUUAU